rnacentral:rRNA from 1 species
UUAGAGUUUUAUUCCCUGCUCCAGAUUGAACGCUGGCGGCGUGCUUAACACAUGCAAGUCGUGCGCGAAAGGGGACUUCGGUCCCUGAGUAGAGCGGCGCACGGGUGAGUAACGCGUGGAUUAUCUACCCAUACGUUCGGGAUAACGGCGGGAAACUGCCGCUAAUACCGGAUACGCUCCAAUUUCGGUUGGGGGAAAGGCGGCCUCUGCUUGCAAGCUGUCGCAUCUGGAUGAGUCCGCGUCCCAUUAGCUUGUUGGUGGGGUAAUGGCCUACCAAGGCUACGAUGGGUAGCUGGUCUGAGAGGAUGAUCAGCCACACUGGAACUGAAACACGGUCCAGACUCCUACGGGAGGCAGCAGUGGGGAAUAUUGCGCAAUGGGGGAAACCCUGACGCAGCGACGCCGUGUGAGGGAAGAAGGCUUUCGGGUCGUAAACCUCUGUCAGAAAGGAAGAACCUCCCAAGUCCCGAAUAGGGCUUGGACUGACGGCAC